rnacentral:rRNA from 1 species
GAGUUUGAUCAUGGCUCAGAACGAACGCUGGCGGCAUGCCUAACACAUGCAAGUCGAACGAACCCUUCGGGGUUAGUGGCGCACGGGUGCGUAACGCGUGGGAACCUGCCUUUAGGUUCGGAAUAACUCAGAGAAAUUUGAGCUAAUACCGGAUAAUGUCUUCGGACCAAAGAUUUAUCGCCUUUAGAUGGGCCCGCGUUAGAUUAGAUAGUUGGUGGGGUAAUGGCCUACCAAGUCGACGAUCUAUAGCUGGUCUGAGAGGAUGAUCAGCCACACUGGGACUGAGACACGGCCCAGACUCCUACGGGAGGCAGCAGUGGGGAAUAUUGGACAAUGGGCGAAAGCCUGAUCCAGCAAUGCCGCGUGAGUGAUGAAGGCCUUAGGGUUGUAAAGCUCUUUUACUAGGGA